rnacentral:rRNA from 1 species
UUACCUGCAGUCGCACGAGAAAGUGGAGCAAUCCAUGAGUAAAGUGGCGUACGGGUGAGUAACACGUGGGUAAUCUACCUCUUAGUGGGGAAUAACCUGGGGAAACCCGGGCUAAUACCGCAUAAGCUCGAGAGAGGAAAGCAGCAAUGCGCUGAGAGAGGAGCCCGCGGCCGAUUAGCUAGUUGGCAGGGUAAAAGCCUACCAAGGCAGAGAUCGGUAGCCGGCCUGAGAGGGCACACGGCCACACUGGCACUGAAACACGGGCCAGACUCCUACGGGAGGCAGCAGUGGGGAAUCUUGCACAAUGGGGGGAACCCUGAUGCAGCGACGCCGCGUGAGCGAUGAAGCCCUUCGGGGUGUAAAGCUCUUUCGGCAGGGAAGAUGAUGACGGUACCUGCAGAAGCAGCUGCGGCUAACUACGUGCCAGCAGCCGCGGUAAUACGUAGGCAGCGAGCGUUGUUCGGAGUUACUGGGCGUAAAGGGUGUGUAGGCGGUUCUUUAAGUUUGGUGUGAAAUCUCCCGGCUCAACCGGGAGGGUGCGCCGAAUACUGAGGGACUUCGAGUGCGGGAGAGGAAAGUGGAAUUCCUGGUGUAGCGGUGAAAUGCGUAGAUAUCAGGAGGAACACCGGUGGUGUAGACGGCUUUCUGGACCGUAACUGACGCUGAGACACGAAAGCGUGGGUAGCAAACAGGAUUAGAUACCCUGGUAGUCCACGCCCUAAACGAUGCAUAUUUGGUGUGGGUCAUUCAGUUGAUCCGUGCCGGAGCUAACGCGUUAAAUAUGCCGCCUGGGGAGUACAGUCGCAAGGCUGAAACUCAAAGGAAUUGACGGGGGCCCGCACAAGCGGUGG